rnacentral:rRNA from 1 species
CUUUAGAUACCCGGGUAGUCCUAGCCGUAAACGAUGAGCACUGGGUUGAGGAAACUAUCACAUUUUCUCGGCCGUAGCGAAAGCGUUAAGUGCUCCGCCUGGGGAGUAUGGCCGCAAGGCUGAAACUCAAAGGAAUUGACGGGGGCUCACACAAGCGGUGGAGGAUGUGGCUUAAUUCGAGGCUACGCGAAGAACCUUAUCCUAGAUUUGACAUGCUUGAGAGUCUCUAUGAAAGUAGAGAGUGCCCUUCGGGGAGCUCUUGCACAGGUGCUGCAUGGCCGCCGUCAGAA